UGGAGAAGGAGUUCAGUGCAAGAGAGA
rnacentral:piRNA from 1 species